ACAUGCCUACAACAUAGCGUUAAUGCACCAGAUCCCAUUAGAACUCCACAAUUAAGCGCACUCAUGCUAGAGUAGUACUGAGAUGGGUGAUCGCUUGGGAAUUCCUAGUGUUUUACAUGCC
rnacentral:rRNA from 1 species